UCAACGACAAAUACUACCUACAAACACACGGGACUGCUAUGGGAACAACCGUGGCGGUUUCAUAUGCCAAUAUAUUUAUGGCUGCACUAGAGGAAAAAAUCCUCCAGAAUGCACCAGAAGGUCUGACUCCUCUAGAGUGGAUCAGAUUUCUGGACGACAUUUUUGCUAUAUGGUGCCACGGUGAAGCAUCCUUAAUUAGAUUUCUUGAAUAUAUGAACACACUACACAAGACUAUCAAAUUCGAAUUUGAAUACUCUACUAAGACUGUACAUUUUCUAGACACAAGGAUUUAUAUCAACGAACAAAACAAACUAGAAUCAGACGUAUACAUCAAACCAACAGACAAGACAAUGUUACUACAUAACACCUCUUUUCACCCCAACACUUGUAAACAAGGCGUAAUCUACAGCCAGGCGCUACGCUACAGACGAAUCAUCACAGAUGACACAAUACUACGAAACCAACUAGAAAAACGUAAAAUUAUUCUGAUGACUAGAGGAUACAAAACUGGCACAAUUGACAAUGCCUUUGGGAAAGCAACACAACACACACAAAAACAAUUACUUUACAACGACAAACCAAACAAAACAGAAACUCGACCAACGCUUAGCAUUCCUUUCAAUACUAACACAACACAUAUUGGCCAAAUCCUACAAAAACACUGGCACCUAAUAGAAAGCGACCCAACGUUAAAAAUACUAUGGCCAAAUAUACCUAUGGUCGCAUACAAACGUAAUAAAAACAUUAAAGAAAUGCUAGUAAGCAGCAAACUAAAAAAGACUGGAAACAAAUCCAGCGAUUAAUUAUGUACAGUGACACUAUACAGAAACAUAACGCAAACAACAAAUCACUGCUGUCAUGCUUAUUUGAAAACAUACACCAAAGACCAAGAUAGAGAAUGAUGAUGUCUGAAGACAAUACCAAAACAAAAAAGGCAUGAUGAUGGGGGGACAAAAGAAAAACAAGAGAUAUAAGGAAGGCUCUUGCAAUCUAGUUGGAUUUUUUUUUU